rnacentral:rRNA from 1 species
AGUGGCGGACGGGUGAGUAACACGUAAGAAUUUGCCUCUAGGAGGGGGACAACAGCUGGAAACGGCUGCUAAUACCCCAUAUGCUUUCGAGUGAAAUGAAAUUUUUCGCCUAGAGAGAAGCUUGCGGCUGAUUAGCUUGUUGGUAAGGUAAUGGCUUACCAAGGCGACGAUCAGUAUCUGGUUUGAGAGGACGAUCAGACACACUGGAACUGAGACACGGUCCAGACUCCUACGGGAGGCAGCAGUGGGGAAUUUUCCGCAAUGGGCGAAAGCCUGACGGAGCAAUACCGCGUGAGGGAUGAAGGCCUAUGGGUUGUAAACCUCUUUUUUCAGAGAGGAACAAAAUGACGUGUACCUGAAGAAUAAGCAUCGGCUAACUCCGUGCCAGCAGCCGCGGUAAGACGGGGGAUGCAAGUGUUAUCCGGAAUCACUGGGCGUAAAGCGUCUGUAGGUGGUUAAGUAAGUCAACUGUUAAAUCUUGAGGCUUAACCUCAAAAUCGCAGUCGAAACUGCUUGACUAGAGUAUAGUAGGGGUAAAGGGAAUUUCCAGUGGAGCGGUGAAAUGCGUAGAGAUUGGAAAGAACACCGAUGGCGAAGGCACUUUACUGGGCUAUUACUGACACUCAGAGACGAAAGCUAGGGUAGCAAAUGGGAUUAGAUACCCCAGUAGUCCUAGCCGUAAACAAUGGAUACUAGAUGU